UACAGAGGUCUCAAGCGUUUGUUCGGAUUCAUUGGGCGUAAAGGGUGUGUAGGUGGCGCCGUAAGUCGGGUGUGAAAUUUCGGAGCUUAACUCCGAAACUGCAUUCGAUACUGCGGUGCUUGAGGACUGGAGAGGAGACUGGAAUUCAUGGUGUAGCAGUGAAAUGCGUAGAGAUCAUGAGGAAGACCAGUGGCGAAGGCGGGUCUCUGGACAGUUCCUGACACUGAGGCACGAAGGCCAGGGGGAGCAAAACGGGG
rnacentral:rRNA from 1 species